rnacentral:SRP_RNA from 1 species
UGCCAACCGGGUGUCCGCACUAAGUUCAGCAUUAAAAUGGUGACCUCCUGGGAGCAGGGGGCCACCAGGUUGCCUAAGGAUGAGUGAACUGGCACAAAUCAGAAAGGGAGCAGGUCAGAACUCCCACACCGACCAGUAGUGGGACUGUGCCUGGGCA